UACAGAGGGGGCAAGCGUUGUUCGGAAUUACUGGGCGUAAAGGGCGCGUAGGCGGCCUUCUAAGUCGAACGUGAAAUCCCUGGGCUCAACCCAGGAACUGCGUCCGAUACUGGAAGGCUUGAAUCCGGGAGAGGGAUGCGGAAUUCCAGGUGUAGCGGUGAAAUGCGCAGAUAUCAGGAGGAACACCCGUGGCGAAAGCGUCUCUCUGGGACGGUACUGACGCUGAGACGCGAAAGCGUGGGGAGCAAACAGG
rnacentral:rRNA from 1 species